CAUUAUACCGUGAAACUGCGAAUGGCUCAUUAAAUCAGUUAUCGUUUAUUUGAUAGUACCUUACUACUUGGAUAACCGUGGUAAUUCUAGAGCUAAUACAUGCUGAAAACCCCAACUUCGGGAGGGGUGUAUUUAUUAGAUAAAAAACCAACGCCCUUCGGGGCUUCUUGGUGAUUCAUGAUAACUUUACGGAUCGCAUGGCCUUGCGCCGGCGACGGUUCAUUCAAAUUUCUGCCCUAUCAACUUUCGAUGGUAAGGUAUUGGCUUACCAUGGUUUCAACGGGUAACGGGGAAUUAGGGUUCGAUUCCGGAGAGGGAGCCUGAGAAACGGCUACCACAUCCAAGGAAGGCAGCAGGCGCGCAAAUUACCCAAUCCCGACACGGGGAGGUAGUGACAAUAAAUACUGAUACAGGGCUCUUUUGGGUCUUGUAAUUGGAAUGAGUACAAUUUAAACCUCUUAACGAGGAACAAUUGGAGGGCAAGUCUGGUGGACAUUCAGCUCCCACUUUGCUGACGCCAGAGAUAGUCGGGCAUCUUUCGAGGUGUUACGCCGGCUAGUCGAUGUACCUACUAAAAUGAUGGGGAGGUACCGGCAAGACAACCUGGAUCGGGGAAGGCUAAGGCAUUCAAGCAAUGCUAUGCUAAUCCCGAGCAGAGCUACUGUAGAGCGAUUUACAGAUAGCCUGUGUAGAGCACGGAAAGGUGUCGGCCAACUCAAGUAGUUGGCUUAAGGGACGUGCCAUUCUCAUCUGAAAAGGUGGCUGUCAGCAAUAGCGCCCAUCACGCGAAGGCUGACAGGUUCAAGCGUACACGUUUGAAGUUAAAUAGGCCAGCAGCCGCGGUAAUUCCAGCUCCAAUAGCGUAUAUUAAAGUUGUUGCAGUUAAAAAGCUCGUAGUUGAACCUUGGGUCUGGCUGGCAGGUCCGCCUCACCGCGUGUACUUGUCCGGCCGGGCCUUCCUUCUGGAGAACCUCAUGCCCUUCACUGGGCGUGUUGGGGACCAGGACUUUUACUUUGAAAAAAUUAGAGUGUUCAAAGCAGGCCUUUGCUCGAAUACGUUAGCAUGGAAUAAUAGAAUAGGACGUGCGGUCCUAUUUUGUUGGUUUCUAGGACCGCCGUAAUGAUUAAUAGGGACAGUCGGGGGCAUCAGUAUUCAAUUGUCAGAGGUGAAAUUCUUGGAUUUAUUGAAGACUAACUACUGCGAAAGCAUUUGCCAAGGAUGUUUUCAUUAAUCAGUGAACGAAAGUUAGGGGAUCGAAGACGAUCAGAUACCGUCGUAGUCUUAACCGUAAACUAUGCCGACUAGGGAUCGGGCGAUGUUCUUUUUCUGACUCGCUCGGCACCUUACGAGAAAUCAA
rnacentral:rRNA from 1 species